rnacentral:lncRNA from 1 species
AAUGGUUGUAUUUUGGAACUUGAUGUAUCUUUUGAGAAUAUGAUGUAAGAUUUGAAUAUUCAGUUAAGGAAGUAACUUUUCUUCAUUUUAGACUUGUAUUAUUUGGUAUGUAUCAUUAAGUUUGAAUUGAAUUGUCUUGAGUCCUGACGAGAGUUGGGCAGGCGUCCCGCGGAUACCCUUGGGUUCGUCCUUGGGAGAAGUGGGGACGUCACACAUCCCAUUCAUUUUAACCAUAGUACCUCUCAUAAUUGGUUGUGUAAAAUCAAUUUCAGCCAGGAUUUUCAUGUGUCUACCAUCUCUACUUCCAAAAUUAGGAAUGACAACCUCUUUUACUGCUGAAAAAACCCUGCCUAUUUUCUUACCUGCUUCCUUGGUAGGCUAGCUAAUUAGCAGAUUCCAAAUUUGAAACCAAGCCAGAGUUUUCUUGAAGGCCUCUUGAUCUUCUUCCACUCCUUCCCUCCAUGGUUGGAGGACUAACGGUUGCCCAUCAAAAAUCCACAGCCUUUUGUUCAGCAUUUUUUCCUGCUCUUCCUCAUUCCUGAAAAGUGAACUGAAACAUGUUUAUUCCCAGCUCCAUAACUUUCACAUUUUUUGCAAACACCCAAAUAGUAGUUGUGAAGCUUCUAACCC